GUGAGGAAUUUUGCGCAAUGGGGGAAACCCUGACGCAGCAACGCCGCGUGAGUGAAGAAGGCCUUCGGGUUGUAAAGCUCUGUCAAGUGGGAAGAAUAGAUCCGGUUGAAUAGGCCGGAAUACUGACGGUACCACUGGAGGAAGCACCGGCUAACUCCGUGCCAGCAGCCGCGGUAAUACGGAGGGUGCAAGCGUUAUUCGGAUUUAUUGGGCGUAAAGGGCGUGUAGGCGGUCUGAUAAGUCAGGUGUGAAAGCCCCUGGCUCACCCAGGGAAGUGCAUUUGAAACUAUCAGACUUGAGUACGGGAGGGGGAAGUGGAAUUCCUGGUGUAGAGGUGAAAUUCGUAGAUAUCAGGAGGAAUACCGGUGGCGAAGGCGACUUCCUGGACCGAUACUGACGCUGAGACGCGAAAGCGUGGGGAGCAAACAGGAUUAGAUACCCGAGUAGUCC
rnacentral:rRNA from 1 species